rnacentral:rRNA from 1 species
AGAGAGAGACAUGCGCGCAUAUCAAUAAGCGGAGGAAAAGAAACUAACAAGGAUUCCCCUAGUAACGGCGAGUGAAGCGGGAAGAGCUCAAAUUUGAAAUCUUAAAGGGUUUCCCUUUACGAAUUGUAGUUUAAAGAAGUGUUUUCUGUUGAGGUUUCGGUAAAAGUUCUUUGGAAUAGGACAUCAUAGAGGGUGAGAAUCCCGUAUUUGACCUUUACUUUCAACUUUGUGAUACACUUUCAAAGAGUCGGAUUGUUUGGGAAUGCAGUCCAAAAUGGGUGGUAAAUUUCAUCUAAAGCUAAAUAUUGGCGAGAGACCGAUAGCGAACAAGUACCGUGAGGGAAAGAUGAAAAGAACUUUGAAAAGAGAGUUAAACAGUACGUGAAAUUGUCAAAAGGGAAGCGUUUGACACCAGUGUUGUUUUUCUGAAAAUCAAUUAAAGAACUGUUUAUGCUAAGUUGUUUAGACUUUAUCAGCUAUCUGUUUAGUUUUGAGCUUUUCUUUAAUGCACUUUUCAGUUAACAAGUCAACAUCAAUUUCUUUUGCUGUAAAAAAGCUUGAGGAAGGUGGCUUGAGAUUCGUCUUAAGUGUUUAUAGCCUCUUGCCUAUGCAGUCGGAGAGAUUGAGGUCUGCAGCGUAGAUCCUUCGGGGCUAUAAUGCAUUUGUGCUAAGUUAUAGCAUUUUAUAGACAACUUGUUGACUAUGAUUUGUCUUGUAGCUUACUCGCUUAUGUUAUUUUACCUACGCUUAGGAUGUUGAGCGCAUGUCUCUCUCU